GCCCGGGUGGCUCAGUCAGUUGAGCAUCUGACUUCGGCUCAGGUGGCGAUCUCACAGCUCGUGGAUUCGAGCCCCGCGUCGGGCU
rnacentral:tRNA from 1 species